AACGCACCUUGCGCUCUUUGGUAUUCCGAAGAGCAUGCCUGUUUGAGUGUCAUGAAUCUCUCAAAUACAAUGAUUUUUAUUAAUUAUUGUGUUUGGACUUGGAAGCUUGUCGGCGCAAGUCGACUCUUCUUAAAUGCAUUAGCUGGGGUUUAUAUAGUUGGAUCCUUGGUGUGAUAAUUAUCUACGCCUUGAAGUCCCUGUAGACUCUGCUUCAAAUCGUCUCCUAGAGACAACAUUUGAAUCAUCUGACCUCAAAUCAGGUAGGACUACCCGCUGAACUUAA
rnacentral:misc_RNA from 1 species